GAAUGUGCUGCCGGCUGAGAGGGGGAGGCAGCCUCGAUCUGAGGGCCCCGGAGCUGCGGCCACGCCCAUCGCCUCCAGCCCAGCUCGCCCAUUGGCCAACCAGGCUCCGAGAGAUCUGAGCUUCGCUCUUUCCCAGGUCGGACGCUCGCAGCUCCGUUCCCGGGCUGGGGCUCCCUGCCGUCCAGGGUCGAGUCUGGGGGCCAGGACCUGCAGGGAUGACGUGAGUUGAGGAGGCUCAGCGGAAAGCGACAGGAACGUAAGCUCUCUGAAGUUAAGAAGCAUAGUUAUUUUGUUCACUACUGUAUACCCAGCACCUAAUAGUACUUGGCACAUAAGUACUCAGGAACUAUUUGUCAAAUGCAAGAACGUAUGCCCCGAAAGUAGGAGUCAGGAAAACCAGAAAAAAUGCCUUUAAGUAUUACAGAAAUGCCACAGGCCUCCACUUAAAUUGAAAAACAAGCUAACACCUCUUGAUAAAAAUGUGGAUUGAGAUCAAUAAGCAGCUUCUCCACUCCUUCUGGAAUCUCCACCUGGUUCAGCCUGCCUGCCUCUGCCAUGUCCAUCAGGGUGACCCAGAAGUCCUAUAAGGUGUCCACCUUUGGCCCAGGCUUUCAGCAGCCGCCUCUAUAUGAGUGGGUCCAGUGCCUGCACCAGCUCCUCAAACUUCUCUCCCUCGUGGGGAGCAGAAGCUUCUGGGGUGGCCUGGGCAGAGGCUAUGGUGGGGCCAGCAGCAUGGGAGGUAUCACCACCAUCACGGUCAACCAGAGCUUGCUGAGCCCCCUUAACCCUGAGGUGGACUCCAACAUCCAGGCUGUCCACACCCAGGAGGAGGAGCAGAUCAAGACCCUCAAGUUUGCCUCCUUCAUAGACAAAGUACGGUUCCUGGAGCAGCAGAACAAGAUGCUGGAGACCAAGUGGAGCCUUCUGCAGCAGCAGAAGAUGGCUGGAAGCAGCGUGGACAACAUGUUCGGGAACUGUAUCAACAACCUUCGGCAGCAGCUGGAGCCAGGAGAAGUUGAAGCUGGAAGCGGAGCUUGGCAACAUGCAGGGGCUGGUGUAGGACUUCAGGAACAAGUAUGAGGAUGAGAUCCAUAAGUGUACAGAGAUGGAGAAUGAAUUUGUCCUCAUCAAGAAGGAUGUAGAUGAAACUUACAUGAACAAGGUAGAGCUGGAGUCUCAUCUGGAAGGGCCGACUGUAUGAAGUGGCGAUCCAGGAGCUGCAGUCCCAAAUCUCCAACAUGUCUGUGGUGCUAUCCGUGGACAACAGCUGCUCCCUGGACAUGGACAGCAUCGUUGUUGAGGUCAAGACGCAGCACGAGGAGGUUGCCAACCGCAGUUGGGCUGAGGCUGAGAGCACGUACCAGAUCAAGUAUUUGGAGCUACAGAUGCUGGCUAGGAGGCACGGGGAUGACCUGCGGCAUACAAAGACUGAGAUCUCCAAGAUGAACCAGAAUAUCAGCCAGCUCCGGGCUGAGAUUGAGGGCCUCAAAGGCCACAGGGCUUCCCUGGAGGCCGCUGUCACAGAUGCUGAGCAGCGUGGGGAGCUGGCCAUUAAGGAUGUCAAUGCUAAACUGUCCGAGCUGGAGGCCACACUGCAGCGCAUGAGUAUCUGGAGCUGAGGAACGUCAACUUGGCCCUGGACAUGGAGAUCGCCACCUACAGAAAGCUGCUGGAGGGCUAGGAGAGCUGGCUGGAGUCUGGGAUGCAGAACAUAGGUAUCCAUACGAAGACAACCAGCGGCUAUGCAGGUGGUCUGAACUUGGCCUAUAUGGGCCUCACAAGCCCUGGCUUUAGCUAUGGCCUGGGCUCCUGCUUUGGCUCUGGCACAGGCUCCAGCUCCUUCAGCUGCACCAGCUCCACCAGGGCCGUGGUUGUGAAGAAGAUAGAGACCCACAAUGGGAAGCUGGUGUCCAAGUCCUCUGACUUCCUGCCCAAGUGAACAACUGUGGCAGCCCCUCCUAGUCUGUUCCUCCUGUGGCUGCCACAGACUCCGGGAGGGAGGCUGCUGUGUGGGGGAGCACAGAGAACAGGAGACCCCCCUGAGGCUCAGCCCACCUGCAGGGGAGUUUACUGCCUGG